rnacentral:rRNA from 1 species
UACGUAGGUGGCAAGCGUUGUCCGGAUUUAUUGGGUUUAAAGGGUGCGUAGGCGGUCUAUUAAGUCAGCGGUGAAAUACUCCAGCUUAACUGGAGGGGUGCCAUUGAUACUGAUGGACUUGAGUCAAGUCGAGGUAGGCGGAAUUGACGGUGUAGCGGUGAAAUGCUUAGAUAUCGUCAAGAACACCAAUAGUGAAGACAGCUUACUGGGCUGAAACUGACGCUGAGGCACGAAAGUGUGGGGAUCAAACAGG